rnacentral:lncRNA from 1 species
UUAAAUUAAAUUUUGAAGUCUAAAACAUUCGUUUAAAGUAAAAUUAUAGCUAUUUGAAUAUAAUAAAAAUAUUAAAUAAAAUAUUAUAUUUUCUUAAAACACAAUAUUUUCAAAGUCUUCUUAAAAUAACUUUUGUAGCGUAAAAGUAAAAUAAAUUUAUUCAUAUAGUAAUAAAGAUAAUUAAAGUAUGAAAUUUCGUUUACAGUGACAUGUGGGCCCCCAACUAACCAAGAAGGUGUAGAGCUACGAACCCUUACUUCCUAUGAUGCAAUUCCACGAUUAAUUCUCGUCUUAAUCAACUAUCAACAAACUGUCCUAAGCUUGAAAAAUAGAUAGGAAGUGGGGUGAGAUUAAAUAAUCUCAGUGAGUAAACAAUUACCAUCAAAAGCAUCUAAAGCCGAGUAGAUGGAGACAAUAUAAAAACGUUAUAUCUCAAUAAUGUUCAUAACACAAAUUUCGUUUCAAUCUAUACCAAACAAUUUAUUUUCAUCAAAAUUUCCUGACUUAUGAAUUUCUUAAACUUGGCCCCUGCCAGAAUCAUUCUCGUAGAUACCUUCGUCAAGGUAUCCCACUAAGACCGCCAAGGUUGUUCAAUGACCCAUACCCAUAAACAUGUUUUCACAUCUAACACACAGCCGUUCCUUGGCGUUGGCUGAGUCUCACUCUCACGUGGUGGCCCGAACGUGAGGUGCACUCAAAUCAUACCUCAGGAGAUACUUCACCAAACAUCUCCCCUCGGAGGUAAAUAUAUAAUUGAGUUCCACUGCCCCUCUCAUAGGCAGUCCACGGAAACCCCUACGACUGCAGUGACCGUUUAAUAUACCACCAGACCCAUAAAAAUUUCAGUAGCAUAAUAUGGCGAAUAAAAUGUAAUUCAGUCUACCGAGACCAAUCCCAAAAAUUUAGCCAUCAUGCUCCCAUAAUGUCAUAAGCCCCAAUUUCAAUAACAUAUA